CCUACGGGGUGCAGCAGUGGGGAAUAUUGGACAAUGGGCGAAAGCCUGAUCCUGCCAUGCCGCGUGUGUGAAGAAGGCCUUCGGGUUGUAAAGCACUUUCAGUGGGGAAGAAAGCCUUGGGGCUAAUACCCUCGAGGAAGGACAUCACCCACAGAAGAAGCACCGGCUAACUCCGUGCCAGCAGCCGCGGUAAUACGGAGGGUGCGAGCGUUAAUCGGAAUUACUGGGCGUAAAGCGCGCGUAGGCGGUCUGAUAAGCCGGUUGUGAAAGCCCCGGGCUCAACCUGGGAACGGCAUCCGGAACUGUCAGGCUAGAGUGCAGGAGAGGAAGGUAGAAUUCCCGGUGUAGCGGUGAAAUGCGUAGAGAUCGGGAGGAAUACCAGUGGCGAAGGCGGUCUUCUGGACUGACACUGACGCUGAGGUGCGAAAGCGUGGGUAGCAAACAGGAUUAGAUACCCUGGUAGUC
rnacentral:rRNA from 1 species